rnacentral:misc_RNA from 1 species
UCGUGGGGCUUCGGCCCCGUCGAGAUAGAACCCUUGCCUUUUUGAGUACCAUUUUCGUUUCCUCGGCGGGCUCGCCCGCCAACGGGGACCAACCAAACGCUUUGUAGUACCUGUAAUUGUCUGAGAAACAAACAAAAAAUUA